rnacentral:tRNA from 1 species
CUCAGAAGAAAAGUACUUAACUUCCCCCUCAGCACCCAAAGCUAAAAUUCUAAUUUAAACUAUUCUCUG